GUUUUUUAAUGCUUUGCAUUUGUACUUCUAUAUAAGAAGUUUAGGUGCAGGAGUGAAGUUUGCAGGUUUGCUUGGAAUUAGAGAUGCUUCGUAGCGAGUAUUACAAAGUCUCCAGUGCUCCACCGUCCAGUUACACAUCUUUGAGAAGUGAGCUAAUUUGGUUUCCAUAAAUUGCAGUCUGCAGACGCUACCUGGAAUGAAAAGAAUCGUCCUCUUGUUGAUCGGUCUGGCCGUGCUGGCUACGGCCGUGGCGCACUACGUUCCCGGGAUUCCGCUCGACCAGCUAGAAGCGCACGGUUAUCAACCGGACGAGACGCAGCCGGGUCGCUACAAGCGCCAAGUUCCGGCGGAUCCUCGACGGGCACUGGCACCCGGCACCGGCGUCGCCGCACCCACAAAGCCUCCAACCACUGUUAUCGUCGCGACAUCUGGCGAUUGUUGCUGCGUUAUUAUAAUAAAUGGAAAUAGCGUGUGUGUUAUUUGCGUCUGUCAAGGAUAACAUAUGGGUCAACUAAGCACCAAUUUGCACAUAGAAGUAGUAACAGUUACUUACAUUACCCAAUUGCAACUGUCAGAUGUCACCGCUGUAAAAUUUCUAAACUAAGCGGACAUGUACGUACAGUUCUUUAAGUUGUGCAUCAAGUGUCACUGCUUUUUACGAAUGUCCGUCUGACCGUUACAAAAGAUUUUAAAUUGUUUUUCCAGCUUUCGCGACAAUUGGCGAGAACGUCGAAAAGAUUAAAGCUUCUGAAGUAAUAAUAA